UGGCAAUAGGCCUAGUUGAUCAACUUACUUUUUUUUCUCUGCAUGACAACUCGAAAAAAGACCUCGGUCACCUGAAUGACGUGUUUAAAUCAUGUCAAUAGGUUAAGAAGAUCCCCUAACAGAAAUAUAUAUAUUCUACCAAUAUAUAUAUUUUAGAAUAUGUAACGGACCUAUUGUGUAGCUAUUCACCUGUAUUGCGCCCCGGAACCUUUUGUUUACGUUUAACCCGGUACCCUUUUAGAGGCGCAGAGCAGCAAUCACGGCGAUGUGUGUCUCGCACGUAGUCGCGUCGAAAACUGCAAGCUAACGGCUGACCCAUGAAUGUCCGGUGAAAGCAACUUUUCCCUCGUCUUGCACCCUUGGCAAGCGGAGCGAGGUAUGGUUUAUUGUAAGCCUUUAGUGUGAUUAUGUUUAAUUAUGGUGUCUUUAUGUAAGUGAAGCAAAUAAUGCACACGUUUAAGUUUUCUUUGUUGUGCUGAAAUAUGUUUUCUAUAAUAUGUCAUUCUUUUAUUUCCUGUAUUGGAAUAAUAUUUGAAUUCAAGUGAAUAUUGUAAAGGUCUUUCAGAUGUUUGCAGUUUGCACACAAAUUAAUGUUAUCUUAAGACUAGUGUCACUUUCUUCUAUUUGUGAACAUGGAAAUUGUACUGCACUGAUGUUAAUAUAUUUGUGUAAAAGUGUAACCAUUUUGUGUUACUUUUUCUAGUUUCACGUUGCUGUAUCAACAAAAUAAUUCUGCAAUAAAAGGUUGCACCCGU